rnacentral:lncRNA from 1 species
AAGGUAAUGUCCUAUAAAAACUGUAUUUUGUCAUGUGUAAUUAGUGAAAUUGAACAAAACUUAGAAUAAUUGGAAUUGGGAGUUAUAGGUGUGGCCACCAAUUGGAAAGAAGAAGUUUGAGACUCUAUCUUACCUCCCUGACCUUACUGACGUCGAAUUGGCUAAGGAAGUUGACUACCUUCUCCGCAACAAGUGGAUUCCUUGUGUUGAAUUCGAGUUAGAGGUAAUAAACACUGGACCUUUCGUUUGUCUCUAAUCAUUAUAUAUUAUUUUCUUACAUAGCUAAAAACCAAAGUCAAUAAGCUUAUUUUCGUUUGUCUCUAAUCAUUGUUCAUUGAAUGGAUUUCGUAUUCAUUUAUAGCAUGGAUUUGUGUACCGUGAGCAUGGAAACACACCUGGAUACUACGAUGGACGGUACUGGACAAUGUGGAAGCUUCCAUUGUUCGGAUGCACCGACUCCGCUCAAGUGUUGAAGGAAGUGCAAGAGUGCAAGAAGGAGUACCCUAACGCCUUCAUUAGGAUCAUCGGAUUUGACAACAACCGUCAAGUCCAGUGCAUCAGUUUCAUUGCCUACAAGCCCCCAAGCUUCACUGAUUCUUAAUUAAAUCCUUUCUGGAAUAUUCAAUGUUGACUAUCCGGAACAAUUUUGUAUGGUCAAUGUAAAUUUAAGUAACUAUUAUCUAGCCAACUUAAACGUUGAGCAAUUGUUUUGCGAAAAGUGAAAAAGUUGAAGGUUUAUUUUCUAUCAUUUCCUCUAUAAUUAUAUCUAUUCAUAUCAUUUCAUUUUUGAUCUUAUCACUUUGAACUCUUUCAUCUUCGAUUUAGCUCUUUUAAGCAACAUUUUAUUUCCUUUACAUUUCCCUCCUAAUUUUUGCUUUUGAUUCUCUAGACUAACCUAUAAUAGAAGAGAGACCUUUUUAGAUACCUUUUUGGAAAAACUUUGCACAUGAAAUCAUAACAAAGAUGCCUCAAUAAAUCAAAUCUCGAAAGGGCCAGUACCUUGUGACUUAGAUGGAUGGGCUAGGACGAUCUCGCUUUCGAAAAAAAGAUUUAUUUGAUUUUGCUGUGGGUGGAGCAAUGUUGACUACCUCCGCACUAUUUUCUUGAACGGUUUUGGCUAUUUUGUACCUUGUACGCGCUUCUGCUCACGGGAAAUUUGUGAGCUUUAAGUUGGUAUUGUGGAUCCAUGACCAUAGCUUCUUCCUGUGGCCUUAGGGAGAGUUCUUGCCUCGGUUCCACACCGUCCAUUGAAGUGUGCUAUGAAAAUUCCCCACAAUCUGUCAUGUCUUCCAUGCUUAAGUUGACAUGGUGGAAAUCAUCUUGAGGUGCCACAUUUUAAGUGGGCCGUACGUGCAAUGGUGUGGUGCUCCGAAAGGAACGGUAGCAUGGGUUCCUAUAGCAUUGGAUCGUUUUCUAAACAAUAUGCAUUAUGUGUUUAUAAAUUUUAGUAAUUGUACAUACAUGUCCCAGUUUAAAAACAGAUUAACAUACAUUAUAAUUUUAAGGGCUGCCUAUAGCGUUACACCUAUACUAUAGCGUUUCAACUCCUAUCCACCUGUACUUUCGACCUCUGCCCAAUUCACCUUAUACUUGUUUUAAACUUCCUAAUUCCACCUAAACUAUUAAAUUCUCCAUAAUUAACCAAAAUCAAGAACUCUCUAUAAUUGCGAUUAAAAAUCGUUCAAAUCGCGUUUACUGUAGGCCAACCCGAGUCAGAUCCGACCAGCUUCGAAGACUUCUUUCACCAUAAGGGUUUGACUCGUGUUCAUUUGUUUUGUCGGGUCAACCUCGGAUUAAUAUAAACACAUAUUUUUUUACUGCAAUUUGAACUAUUUUUAAUCGUAAUUAUAGAGAGUUGGGCAGAUGUCGAAAGUACAUGUGGAUAGGAGUUGAAACGAUAUAUAUAGUAUAGUUGUAACGCUAUAGGCAGCCCUAAUUUUAAUAAGAAUGAUAUAAACUCAACUAAACUUCCUCUUCUUAGUUUGAAACUUUGCAUGACCAUUAACUCUCUUAUACUGCAUAAGACAUAAUUAGUGACAUAUUUUUUUCUUUCUAUUAUCAAUAUUUUCGUUAGCAUGUACUCGUUGUAAGAUGAAUAGAGAAAUAAUUGAAUUAUGAAAUAACGAAAUCAAUGUAUAUAUAUAUAAAACAAAAACAAUUUUACGCUGAACAAUUUUUUUUUAAAAAAAGGCAAAAAAAUUGCUUGUUUCAUAUUAUAGGAUGUUUUGGACCUUUUUUUUUGUUUCACAAUAUAUAAUGCUUUGAAGAAAAAAUACAAGUUUCUAUGUAAAACAUUAAAUUUAAUAGAUUAUUGACUAUUUACAUUAUGCAGUAAAUUAUAUCACUGAUUAAAUUAUUUUUAAUAGAUAUUAAUUUUUGUUUUAAUGUUAAAAACUCAAGAUUAGUUAAUUUCUUAAACUUUGUGCUUUCAUCUUUUUUUUUAUCUUUUUUUUUUGUCAUCCGAAAUUAAUUAUACCUCAAAAGAGAGAGUAUUAUUUGAAACAAAGAGAGUAUUAUUUAGCAGAUAAAUGACUUUUAUCUGAUUUAAUUAUAAUUUUAAAAUGUGCGGGAUGAAUUAAAAGAUCAUUUAUCAUUUUUCACGUUUUGUUUUUUUCCAGUUAGGUUUUUGUGAAUGGUUUUUACUCAGCGUAAUCAUGUUUUAAGAACAAGAACGUGAGAAAGUUAACAAAAUACCGUUGCAAGACUUUAUUUUUGUUUUACACAAAAUGUAGUUUUAUAUUUUCAAAGUAGUUUUUUUUAAUAGAAUUUACUUAUAUUCUUUUUAGUUAAGAUAAUCAAAUGGGAAAAUAAAAAUAUUAAUGUGUUAAUACAAGAUAAUAGAAAUUUAAUCAUUUUAAUAUAUAUGUAAAAAGUAUUCAACCGAUAUUUACAAUUAGACAGAACUAAGAAGUAUUAAAUUUCUCACCUCACCUCCCAAAAGAAAGGAGCCAAAAGCAACCGAUCAAGUGGAGACCAGUACUAGCCAUACACAUUCACUCGUUCCCUUACAAGAGAAAGAUAAGAUUAUGGAGUUUUCUGCCACUUGGUCUUAUCCUAGUGGUCCGAAUUGAUAAGGGUUUCAACACCUUUCCUUAAUCCUGUGGCAAUUAACGACGUUAUCAUGAAUUAUGGCCACUUUGAUCAUUAGGGCUUUUUGCCUUGCAGUUCUCACUAUAUAAAGAUGACCAAAUCAAUCGACAAACAAGUAAAAGAAACAACAAGAAGUAGUGAUGGCUUCAUCUAUGCUCUCCUCUGCCGCUAUGGUUACCUCCCCAGCUCAAGCCACCAUGGUCGCUCCAUUCACCGGCUUGAAGUCAUCCGCUGCUUUCCCGGUCACCCGCAAGGCCAACAACGACAUUACUUCUAUCUCAAGCAACGGCGGAAGAGUUAGCUGCAUGAAGGUAAUGUCCUAUAAAAACUGUAUUUUGUCAUGUGUAAUUAGUGAAAUUGAACAAAACUUAGAAUAAUUGGAAUUGGGAGUUAUAGGUGUGGCCACCAAUUGGAAAGAAGAAGUUUGAGACUCUAUCUUACCUCCCUGACCUUACUGACGUCGAAUUGGCUAAGGAAGUUGACUACCUUCUCCGCAACAAGUGGAUUCCUUGUGUUGAAUUCGAGUUAGAGGUACUAAACACCGAACUUUUCCUUUGUCUCUAAUCAUCCUUUAUUAUUUCUGUUCAUUGGUAGAAACAUAAGUCAAUAACCGGAUUUUAAAACCCGAAAUAGACUAUAACCGUGUGACUCCUCGACUAUCAAUGGUAUUGAAUGGUUUUGUCAUCUGUUUAUAGCACGGAUUUGUGUACCGUGAGCACGGAAACACUCCCGGAUACUACGAUGGACGGUACUGGACAAUGUGGAAGCUUCCAUUGUUCGGAUGCACCGAUUCUGCUCAAGUGUUGAAGGAAGUGCAAGAAUGCAAGAAGGAGUACCCUAAUGCCUUCAUUAGGAUCAUCGGAUUCGACAACAACCGUCAAGUCCAAUGCAUCAGUUUCAUUGCCUACAAGCCCCCAAGCUUCACCGAUGCUUAAUUCCCUUUCUGGAAUGUUCAACGUUGACUAGUAUUUCGGAAUCCAAUUCUAUGUGGUCAAUGCAAAUUUAAGAAAUUAAUUAGCCGACUUAAAAGUUGAGGAAUUAUUGUGUGAAAGUGAAAAAUUUGAAGGUUUUUUCUAUCAAUUUCCUUAUAAUUAUAUUUACUCAUUUGAUUUCAUUUUUUUUCUUCUAGCUCUUUGAGCUCUAUUUUUCGUUUAGCUCCUUUUGACAACAUUCCGGUUCAUUUAAAUUCUCCUCAUUAUUCUUGCUUUUGAGAAAUUGGCUACAUUGUUUCGAGAAAUUUUGCACAUGAAAGCAUAACAAAGAUGCCUCAAUUUAUCAAACCUCGAUGAUUUAGAACAAAAGAUUAUUUAAGGGGGUGUAACCUUUUAAGAUGAAAUAGCCAUUGGAGAUAGCAAAAGGUAGUAAAAGACGUAUACACUAUAAACAAAAUCCAAAUGUAUGCUUUUAAAAUUAUAAACAUGUAUUCCAAACGCCUAAGUGGAAUAUUCAGUUUAAUUCAAGUCCAAGAAAUGGCAUUAUAUAAAGCAAGGAUCGACAAAGACUGAAAUUUGUCUAGCAUGAAGUUACUAAAUUUUGGAAAUUGUGUUCACGUUAAAAGCUGAAACUUAACAGUUAUUUAUAAGGAAAAGCAGUUAAUGUUCCCAAAAAGUUCUAAAUGAAACUAGAAACCAAAUGAUAAAGAAAACGUAGCAUCUACAUGUUUGGUUUUAGUUUUUUUUUUUUUGACAAAAAUAUUCAAAUGUUUUUAGAUUCUUCUAUGCAAACGAUAUAUAGAAAAUAUAUACAUGAUUCAAAUAUAAUACAAAUAAAAAUAAUUAUUGAAAUUACCGAACAUUUUUUUGCAUCUCCCUGAUUUACUUCCCACAUUUUCGUUUCAAAUAAAAUUCAAGAAAAAGAAAGACGACGAAAAAAAAUGACUUAAAAAGACAAGGGACAGAAGCUGGUAACUUAGAUGGAUGGGUUAGGACUAUCUCACUUUCGAAAAAUGUUUAUUUGGUUGAGGUGCGGAGUGGAGUGGAGCUUGUGAUUCUUUGCCCUAUAUGAGAGUUUUUUCGUGACCAAUUAUGGUGAUUGUGUACUUUGUAUACAUGUUUCUUCUCAUAUGGUUGAAAUGGGGGCAUUUGUGAGCUUUAAGGUGGCAGUCUUGAUCCACGACCAUAGCUUUACAUGACUUUAAGGUGAGUUCUUGCCUUGGUUCUACACCGUUGAUUGAAAUGAAUUAUGAAAAUUCCUCAUGAUCCGCCAUUUUUACAUGCUAAGUUUUUUUUUUUUGAAAAAUGCAUGCUUAAGUUGAAACGGUGGUUAUCAACUUGAGGUGCCAUAUUUGUGAUUAAGUGGGCCGUAAGUGCAACGGCGUGGUACUCAAAGAGGAACGGUGGGGUGGGUUUCACAUCGUGAUUGUGAUGUGAGUAUGUAUGUGACCAGAGUCCAGGGCCGGCUCAAAAUUAUUCGAGACCUUGUGCUGAUGUAUAAAAAUUGGUUUUUAAAUAAUAUAGUGAAAAUUUUGGACCCUCAAUCUUAGAGGAAAUUGAAAUUUUUUUUUGAGGACCCUGUGCUUUUGCUCCUCUAGCACACCCUUAGAGCUGGCACUGCCAGAGUCACAAGAUAAUCGUGAGCUGGUCUUACUUGUUGAUCGAGAGGCAGCAUUAACUCAUAUAGAAGAAACCAUGGACCUCCGACCUUGGGAGGUUUUCUUGGAAAUUCUUCCAUGAUGGAAGCUUACCGCAUGAGCAUGAUACAGGUAGAUGCAUGAUGGUUUCGGUUGUUUGCUCGAUCGCUUUCUACCACAAACAUAUCUUGCAUCUAAUUGUUGUUGCCUUGUUGGUUCUCAAAUAUUUACUCUCGAAACAGUAAGAUGUUGUUAGCCAUACGUAAAUCAGAAAUAAAAGUAUAGUUGGCUAAAACUGCAGUGAGUAUAGAAUUAACCGAUAUCAAUUUAUUCAAAUUUCCGUCUCUCUUUUCUUUUGUUGGCUAAUAUAUUAUCAUUUGAAGAUAAUAUAUAGUUUUUCCAAGAAAAGAAUAUUGACAAUUUUUUUGUGGUAAGUGAUUUUAAGAAUGACUCCAGAAUCGACAGGUUACCCAGACAAUAUUUAUCAUGGAUAAACCUAUCGAAAAAUCUUAAAAAUCAGUAUUAAUAAAACGGAAGUAGUAAUGAACUUCUAAGCUAUGCAUUACAAUACAUUUAUCUCAAUGUCGAAUUUAAAUAAUUUUCUUAGAACUCCUUUUUUAAUGCGACCUUAUUCACCAAAUCAAGUGAAGCCAAAUUAAAUCAUGCAUGGUAAAUAAAAUAUCCAAAAGCAUUAAAUUUAAGGUAAUGCGUCUGAUUUCUUUCCUCCCAAACGAAAGGAGCCAAAAGCAACCGAUCAAGUGGAAACCAAUAACCACACAUUCACUUCGUUUCCCCCACAAGAGAAGAUAAGAUAAUGGAGUUUUCUGCCACGUGGCAUUAUCCUAGUGGUCCGUACCGAUAAGGGUGUCAACACCUUUCCUUAAUCCUGUGGCAGUAAACGACGUUAUCAUGAAUUAUGGACCCUUUGAUCAUGAGGGGCUUUUUUCCUGUUGCGGUUCUCACUAUAUAAAGAUGACAAAACCAGUAGACAAACAAGUAAGUAAGAGAAAAGAGCAAAAGAAGAAGAGAAACAACAAGAAGUAGUAAUGGCUUCCUCUAUGCUCUCCUCGGCCGCUGUGGUUACCUCCCCGGCUCAAGCCACCAUGGUCGCUCCAUUCUCCGGCUUGAAGUCAUCCGCUGCUUUCCCGGUCACCCGCAAGGCCAACAACGACAUUACUUCCAUCGCAAGCAACGGGGGAAGAGUUAGCUGCAUGAAGGUAAAGUAAAGUCAUUAAUGAAAGAUGUCUUUUGUCAUGGCAAUUAGUGUAAUUGAACAAAACAUAGAAUAAUUGGAAUUGGAUUCGGGAAUUAUAGGUAUGGCCACCAAUCGGAAAGAAGAAGUUUGAGACUUUAUCUUACCUCCCUGACCUUACUGACGUCGAAUUGGCUAAGGAAGUUGACUACCUUCUCCGCAACAAGUGGAUUCCUUGUGUUGAAUUCGAGUUAGAGGUAAUAAACACUGAACCUUUCCUUUGUCUCUAAUCAUUAUAUAUUAUUUUCUUACAUAGCUAAAAACCAAAGUCAAUAAGCUUAUUUUCUACACCAAAGUUGAGGCUAUCAUUGUCCAUCGAAUGGUUUUCUUAUGUGUUUAUAGCACGGAUUUGUGUACCGUGAACACGGAAACACUCCCGGAUACUACGAUGGACGGUAC